CCAAACCCUAAACUACGCUUCUCCCAAUUUUUUAUUCAUUUUGAGGUUUGAGCAGAUUGAUCAAUUCCAGAGAAGUCACUCAAGGACUGGGAUUCCCUUCAACUCAAUGCUCUUUUUUGAUGAUGAGGAUAGGAACAUACAAGCUGAUAGGAGCAAAUGGUUUGGAGAACUCCCUUGGGAAGAAAGUUUGCGGGAUGCACACGAGUUUGGAAAACUUGUUCUGUUUUAGAACUUGGAUCCAGCUUACUCUUCAGCAGAAGUGGAGAUAAUAUUUAUUAUGAAUCACAAUUAGGAUAUAGUUUGGAAUGCCUUCAAUGAAACUUGCAGAGCAAAGAUGGUGCAACAGAUUGCAUUGUAUUUUUUAUUACCUUGCAAUGUGUAUAGUCAUAGGCAAGUUCAACUAGUUAGUCUGUUUCUCAUAUGUAUUAUUUAUUUUAGUUUUGAUUCUAAAUUUUUAUUUUUACUUUAAUAUUUACGACAACUUGAGUUCUAA